GACGAACGCUGGCGGCGUGCUUAACACAUGCAAGUCGAACGGGCCUGUCUUCUUUUUUGGGGGGUGGGUUGAGUGGCGAACGGGUGAGUAUCACGUGAGUAACCUGCCCUUCGGUCCUGGAUAACCGCUUGAAAGGGCGGCUAAUACGGGGUGGUCCGGUUGGUCCGCAUGGGCUGGUCGGGAUAGAUUCACUGUUUUUGGUGUUUCGGCGGGGGAUGGGCUCGCGGCCUAUCAGCUUGUUGGUGGGGUGAUGGCCUACCAAGGCGGUGACGGGUAGCCGGCCGGAGAGGGUGAGCGGCGACACUGGGACUGGGAUACGGCCCAGACUCCUGCGGGAGGCAGCAGUGGGGGGUAGUGCACAAUGGGCGGAAGCCUGAUGCAGCGACGUCGCGUGAGGGAUGGAGGCCUUCGGGUUGUGAACCUCUGUUUCCGGUGGUGAAGGCCCUGUCCGUGUGGUGGGGUUGACGGUAGCCGGGGAUGAAGCGCCGGCUAACUACGUG
rnacentral:rRNA from 1 species